GACCAUGUUGAAGCCCUCCUAUUAUGGGAAGGCCCAUUAGCUCAACUUUUGGUGUCUAUAAAUAAAGGGCUAGCUAGGUAUACUCUCAUCUCAUUAACCUUAUGAAGACCCACCGCAUUCGAAUCCUAGUUGGAGGAGAAAGAAUGAGAAGCAAGAGAAGAAGAGCUAGUUGAAUGUACCACAUGUCUGAAACACGCUUCUGCAUUGAUAAACAAGAUGACUUAACAGGAUGAAGGUCAGACAGAUAUGAUAUAUAGAGAUAGCCAUAAAUUUCUGCGCGGCUGAUUGAAGAAGAUGACUGGAGUUUUGGAAACCUCUUUGAGCUCUGGCCAUUCUUCUGUAUUUGCUUAUUCCUUUCCUUUUUUUAAAAAAAUAAAUUAACUAGUGCUAUAGUUUAUUUUCGUUUUUU